AUGAUCGAAGUGGGUGACUUUGGACAAAUUCUUUUAGAUGAUACAGUGCAAGCUUUGCAACUCUUGGACCCGCCUGACGCCCAUGAGCCGGAAUGUUGUGCAAUAUCACAACAUGCAGUUUCUGGAGAGGAAGCGUCCUCCACCAUUCGCAUGCGCGCACAAGUUGGAGACCAAUACAUGCUGUUGUUAGUGGAUUCGGGCAGCUCACACAGUUUCAUCAGUGACUCCUUUGUGCAUCGCGUGUCAGCCCACACCGAGGCAUUACCACCGGUAUCAGUCCGGGUGGCUAACGGGCAGCGUUUGCAUUGCAACAAGAUUGUACGGCAAUUGGGAUGGCAAGUACCUGGACACACUUUUCAUACAGACUUCAGAGUACUGCCACUGGGAGCAUAUGAUGGAGUCCUAGGCAUGGAUUGGUUAGCCUCACAUAGUCCCAUGAACUGUCAUUGGAAACUGAAGACGAUUGAAUUCGAAACCGAAGGGAAAGCAGUGCAUCUCCAGGACGUCAGAACCUCAGACCUUCCACCAAUUACAGAAUUAGAUGUGUAUGAACUCCAUCGCAUGGAAGUGGCUAACGAUAUUUGGACUGCAGCUCUAGUUACAGUUGAGCGGUCAGACAAAGGGAUCCCAAAACCGGUUCCACCAAACAUUCAGAAAGUGCUGUCAGAAUAUCAGGACGUGUUCGCUGAACCAACAACGUUACCACCUCAUCAAUAGUAUGAUCAUGGUAUCCACCUCGAGUCAGGCACUGUCCCAAUCAACACCAAGCCAUAUCAAUACUCACCUGCUCAGAAGGACGAAAUCAAGAAGUAG
rnacentral:rRNA from 1 species